CUGCUAUGUCUGCCUCAAAUGCUUGCCGUGAUACAAAGUGGUAAUCUCUACCAGCUACUUCGUGGUCUCGCCGACUCCGAGUUGUAUCUAGGCAAACAAAAUCAGGCUUGCCACCAAUUUGGAUCUUCUUGACUGAUGACAUGAAGUAUAUCCCCUUUUUGGAAAGACAGACCUAAUUCUCGACAUGGAACAUAAGGGUCAUCUGAGGGGUCAUAAUCAAAAUGAGCUUUCACAUGGAUCUAAAAGAUAAAAAAGAUUCUAGGGCGAAAAGCUGUCCUGAGAUGUCUUUUUGCCCCAUACGCAGCAUGUAAUGUACACAGUCAACAGCCAUCUCUCGAUGCUUCUGAUGUUCCUCUGGUGAUGCAAGAUCAACAUUUUUUACUUCGCUGUCUGAUUCCUCAGCAACAUGCCCAUUCAUAUGGGAUGUUGUCAUGGUUAUCUAUAAAAACCUGUAC